rnacentral:rRNA from 2 species
GAAGAACCUUACCAAGGCUUGACAUGAACCGGAAUGAUGCAGAGAUGUGUCAGCCACUUGUGGCCGGUUUACAGGUGGUGCAUGGUUGUCGUCAGCUCGUGUCGUGAGAUGUUGGGUUAAGUCCCGCAACGAGCGCAACCCUCGUUCCAUGUUGCCAGCGGGUUAUGCCGGGGACUCAUGGGAGACUGCCGGGGUCAACUCGGAGGAAGGUGGGGACGACGUCAAAUCAUCAUGCCC